CCUACGGGUGGCUGCAGUGGGGAAUAUUGGACAAUGGGCGAAAGCCUGAUCCAGCCAUGCCGCGUGUGUGAAGAAGGCCUUCGGGUUGUAAAGCACUUUCAGUGGGGAAGAAAGCCUUGGGGCUAAUACCCUCGAGGAAGGACAUCACCCACAGAAGAAGCACCGGCUAACUCCGUGCCAGCAGCCGCGGUAAUACGGAGGGUGCGAGCGUUAAUCGGAAUUACUGGGCGUAAAGCGCGGGUAGGCGGUCUGAUAAGCCGGUUGUGAAAGCCCCGGGCUCAACCUGGGAACGGCAUCCGGAACUGUCAGGCUAGAGUGCAGGAGAGGAAGGUAGAAUUCCCGGUGUAGCGGUGAAAUGCGUAGAGAUCGGGAGGAAUACCAGUGGCGAAGGCGGCCUUCUGGACUGACACUGACGCUGAGGUGCGAAGGCGUGGGUAGCAAACAGGAUUAGAUCCCCGGUAGUC
rnacentral:rRNA from 1 species